rnacentral:rRNA from 1 species
GAUGAACGCUGGCGGCGUGCCUAAUACAUGCAAGUCGAGCGAACAGAUGAGGAGCUUGCUCCUCUGACGUUAGCGGCGGACGGGUGAGUAACACGUGGAUAACCUACCUAUAAGACUGGGAUAACUUCGGGAAACCGGAGCUAAUACCGGAUAAUAUAUUGAACCGCAUGGUUCAAUAGUUAAAGACGGUUUUGCUGUCACUUAUAGAUGAAUCCGCGCCGCAUUAGCUAGUUGGUAAGGUAACGGCUUACCAAGGCGACGAUGCGUAGCCGACCUGAGAGGGUGGUCGGCCACCCUGGAACUGAGACACGGCCCAGACUCCUACGGGAGGAAGCAGUAGGGAAUCUUACGCAAUGGGGGAAAGCCUGACGGAGCAACGCCGCGUGAGUGAUGAAGGUGUUCGGAUCGUAAAACUCUGUUAUUAGGGAAGAACAAAUGUGUAAGUAACUAUGCACGUCUUGACGGUACCUAAUCAGAAAGCCACGGCUAACUACGUG